UUUGAAAUCCCCCCGGGGAGUUGUAAUUUGAAGAUUGCGUCUUGGAGGCGACCGUGUCUAUGUUCCUUGGAACAGGACGUCACAGAGGGUGAGAAUCCCGUGCGGCACGGCCCCCGGCUCCUUAUAAGGCGCUCUCGACGAGUCGAGUUGUUUGGGAAUGCAGCUCAAAGUGGGUGGUAAAUUCCAUCUAAAGCUAAAUACAGGCGAGAGACCGAUAGCGAACAAGUACAGUGAUGGAAAGAUGAAAAGCACUUUGAAAAGAGAGUGAAACAGCACGUGAAAUUGUUGAAAGGGAAGGGCAUGCCGUCAGAUUGUCAGUGUGGGUAAGAAGCGGGGUACAAAGACUGUGGAACGUGGCCCUCGGGUGUUAUAGCCG
rnacentral:rRNA from 1 species